ACGCAGGUCAUCAACCUGCAUCGAUUACGUCCCUGCCCUUUGUACACACCGCCCGUCGCUUCUACCGAUUGGUCGUCCCGGUGAACAAUCGGGAGGCCGUGCUCAUGGUCAGCAAUGGCCGGAGCGCGGUUGAACUUUUGUAAAUUUGGACGACUAGAGGAAGAAGAAGUCGUAACAAGGUUUCCGUAGGUGAACCUGCGGAAGGAU
rnacentral:rRNA from 1 species